AAACGCCUACUGCAUGCCAGGCUCUGGGCUGAGUGCUGGGUACUGCGCCUGCGCGCGUGAGGCAAAUCUCCAUUUCCCCCUACUACCUCCUGCUUUUGAGGAGGAACUUCCUCCAUUCGCCCUUCCCCUUCUUUUCGGCUUCUCGGAGAAGGGAACACAAAAAGAGCCACUGCACAGUGCCAAGGGAGCAAAUAAUAACCUGCAUAGUGCCAACGAGCACAAUGGUCAAAGAGGCCAACUAAUCCCAGUGGAAUUGAUGAGAUUCUGCAACAAGGCAAGAGGACUUGAACUUGCUUGAGGUUCAAGGUUGCAGCUAUUUGACAUAUGUCAGACACAGGUCUUUCCCAGCCACACUUCUAUCAAAUACUUCACUUUGGCUGCCAUCCUGGCUCCCCAUCCUUGAGAGAAAAGAAAGUAAACUGUUUGGAGAAGGUGCCAUGAAGAUGCUUGCAGAAACCACAAACUGCACCAGAAGAUCGAGAGUGAACUUUGGGAUGUGGUGAGUUUAACUGUUGGGGGUUGAAUGCAUUUGUUUUGAAUGUAUACUCUUAUGCCAAAGAGAACUGCCCCCAAAUUGGCUUUUUGUCAAUGUAGCAAUCAUUGAUUUUGUUUUUUCCCUUUUAUCUCCAAAUUAUUAUAAUUUCCCUUUAGUAACUGCAAUAUUGUAUAUACCUUUAACUCUUUAGAGUUAUGUUUUUUAUGUUUAAAUGAUCCAUUGGGAAGACUAGUCUCCCAAAUGAUCACAGUGGGAUCAUGUGAAUUUUGUACCCUUGAACUACAUUUCCCAGCAUCUCUUUCUUUUUGUCCCCACAUUACAUCCUACAUAUAUUUAUCAGUAAAAUGUGUAACUCUGCUCUCUCACUCUCUCUCUCACUCUCUCUCUCUCUCUCUCUCUCUCUCUCUCUCUCUCUCUCUCUCUCUCUCUCUCUCUCUCUCUCUCUCUCUCUCCUGCUUUUCGUGGUCUAGGAAACUUCUCUUUACUGAAGGUUUUUUUCUUUCCUCUAUGUCAAGUGAUUGUUAAUAAACCUUAUAAAAAUAAUACUUGGAGUAUUGGAUAUUAAUUUUUAAUCUUACAAUGAAAAAUUGGAUAUAAUCUUAGAGAUAUGGCAAUAAGAUUUAGUAAUACUGGGAAGUGUUUCUUGGAAAAAGUAGAUUUUAGCUGAGACCUGAAGGAAAUAUAGGAAACCAGGAAGCAGAGAUGAGAGGGGAGAGAAUUCCAGUUAUGAAGAUCAGUCAGUAAAGAUGAAGUGUAUUGUCUGAGGAAUAGCUAAGAAACUAAUAUCACUGGAUUGUAGAAUAUGUAGAAGGGAAUAAAGUAUAAGAGGAGAGGACUGCCUUAAAAAGUAAGAAGGAGCCAGGUAACAAAAGGUUUUAGAAAUCAGUUGGUCAAUAAGUUAAUAAAAAUGAUUUUUUAAGAACUUACUAUGUGUCAAGAAUAUUUUUAAGCACCAAGAAUAAAGAUAUGAGAAAAAGAUAAAUGGUCUCUAGCCUCAGAGAGUUUAUAUUCUAAUGGGAAAAUACAACAUAAUGGGGUGGGAAGGUAAGAAAAGUAUGAGUGAAGUAGGGUUGUUCUGGAUAUUUUCCUACAAUGAAACUUCCUAGAAGAACUCACCAAUGGAAAAAGGGACCUAAAGAAGUGCAACUGAGGAUUUUAUAUUUGAUGCUUGAAGUGAAAGGUGGUAAUUGGAGUUUAUUGAAUAGGACAGUGAUGGCAAACCUGUGGCACAGUUGCCAAAACGUGCCAAAAACGGCACAUUCUAUGCUGUGUGUGUGCACUCAGCCACCCUCCCUUUCCAUCCCUAACCCUCAGAGUUUGUUACUAGAAAGGGAGAGAGACUGGUGUGGAACUGAUCCCCUUCCCCUCUCCACAACACCUGUUAAUUUUUUCACGUUCCCCUCCCCUCUGCCCAGCAGCCCAAUGGGAGCACACAGGGGAUAAGAUGGGAAGCUCAUAGAGGGCAGGGCUGGAGGGGAGCAGAGCUCUUGGGCCACUCCCCUCCCCCUUUUUACACUC